AAGGAGUUCAGCAUAUGUGCGAGUAUUUGGGUGAGAAAACCCCUGACUGCGAGAUGAUAGUGAAGGCUGGCUUUUUGUCAGCUGAGAAGGGAAGACGCCGUGACAAACGGCGUCCGCACCAUCGACCGGUCUGGCGAUACUUUGCUAGAUCUUAGUAAUAGCACAUAUGUUGGGACCCGAAAGAUGGUGAACUAUGCCUGCAUAGGGUGAAGCCAGAGGAAACUCUGGUGGAGGCUCGAAGAGAUACUGACGUGCAAAUCGUUCGUCAAAUGUGGGUAUAGGGGCGAAAGACUAAUCGAACCAUCUAGUAGCUGGUUCCCUC
rnacentral:sRNA from 1 species